CGAUGGGGCAGCGAGUGGGGCCAUUCUCCCUGCCCGCGCCCGGGGCACUGGGGACGGCUGCAGGACAGAUGAAUUGUUGAGGUGCAAACGUUGGUUCAAAAUCAAGAUCUUCUGCUAUUGUUGUUGCUUCUUUGACAAUUUCUUCAAAUCCUUCAUCUGAACAGAAUUUUUUAAAUAUUCCAGCAUUCUGUUCAAAAUUGUCUUUGCCUCGGAUAUGUCUGUGGUUAUGUUCUGCAUAACUUUGCUGGUCAAAUUAAUUUGAUUUAGAAUAUUAUGCCAAAUAACUGUGCAACAUGAAAAUUGAAACUGCAUCAUGUUCUGAGCCACUUUUUCAGCUUCAUGUCGAAAUGAAGGAUCAUAUGACAAGUCCUGGCUUAUUUUAAAUAGUGCAUUGUAAAUCUCUCCUGAUGAAUAUCGGAAUGGUCUAAUAGUGUCUAUCUUGCUUUCCCCUCUAGUUUGACUUAGAAGUUUAAGUGUGAGGUUUUGUUCAAGAUGCUUCUUCAAGACUGCCCAACAGUGUGUGGAAGCACUAAAAAAGUUGUAAAUUGCUUGCACUGUGGUAAAAUAUGAAACGGCAUCUUUAGAUGAUUUGGCAGCAUCACUAACAACCAGACAGAGUGAAUGCGCAAUGCAAGGAAUGAAAAAAGCUCGAUUGUUUAAAUUCAGUGUACUUUGCUGUACACCCGCAUGUCGUCCUUGCAUGUUUGAGCUGUUAUCGUACCCUUGGCCACGCAUAAUUUCCAAAGGUAUUCCAUAGUGUUCCAAUCUCUGUAGAAUUAUAUCUGUGAGGGCAUUCCCAGUAGCUUUGUUCACUGGUAUAAAUUCUAGAAAGUGUUCACAAAUUUUCACUUCUGCAUUUUCAUCAAUUUCAGAAAUCGUAAAACUAUUCACAUUUGCUCAGUUUUGCUCAGAUCUUGAGUAAAAUCAACUAUAAUUGAGUAAUAUUUGGCAUGUUUCAAAUUCAAUAAAAUUUCAUUACACGCUCCAUUAAAAAUUAAUGCUAUUAUCUCAUUUUGUGUAUUUUUACCCAAAUAAUGGGUAUGAAUCUCUCCAUCUUUCACUCUUUGUACAUGCUCAGCCAUAACAUUAUCAGAUUUGGCAAUAACAACCAAUUUUAAGAAAUUUCCAUUGUUAUUCUCAUAUAAAAUAUCUGAGGAUCCAUGGAAUGCAAGGCACUGUUCGGCUAGGAAAUUAAUGAUUGCCAGUAAACAUUCCAACACAGUUUGCCAACGUAGAAUUUCUGAAUUUUGUUGACGUUGCUGUACUGCAUCAGUUGUUGUACCAGAACGUAGUCUGUUUGACAGCUCAAUCCAAUUUGUCAAUGAGCGUAAAUGAUUUUUUUAUGUUUCAUGUUUUCAAAUGCUGAUGCAAAUUUUGCCUGUCAUUAAAACCUGCAGUUGCCAGAAGAAUGUCCAAGUUACAGAACAGUUUGCAGCAAAAACAAAAAACUACAUCUUUGGUCUGUGAAUACACUAACCACGAUCUACUAAUUUGUUCCCCAUUUUCCAUUUUUUUCUUCAUACUGAAUGGCAUAAAUCGAUGAUUCAACUCAUUAAAUGAAUAUUCAAAUGUA